rnacentral:rRNA from 1 species
UACGUAGGGGGCAAGCGUUGUCCGGAAUCAUUGGGCGUAAAGAGCGCGUAGGCGGCCCUGUAAGUCCGCUGUGAAAGUCAAGGGCUCAACCCUUGAAUGCCGGUGGAUACUGCAGGGCUAGAGUCCGGAAGAGGCGAGUGGAAUUCCUGGUGUAGCGGUGAAAUGCGCAGAUAUCAUGAGGAACACCAGUGGCGAAGGCGACUACCUGGCCUGUUCUUGACGCUGAGGCGCGAAAGCUAGGGGAGCAAACGGG